UGUUGGAAAUAAUAGGCAGCGGAAACUUACAAACCGGAUAGCCAACGUAUCCGGGAACCGGAAUCGGAUCGGGUUGCUUGUUUUACAAGCCUUCUUGGAUCGUCCUUGUCUCGAUGCUUUUGGAUCUCCCACGUUUUUCGUCUUCUUCCACGCGUACGCCUUACGUCACGGAAAGGAUCGCCUUACGUCACGGAUGCCAAUCGGAGAGGGCUACCAGAGUCCUCUCCUAUGUCCACACCCUAAAACCCCGGGAACGUAGGUGGAAAUCCCAGAGAGGAAGAGGAGAGAGAAGAAGGAAGAUUUUGUGGAUUCUCGAAUUAGAUCGUAUUCAAUCAUCUCUCCUGCGGGAGAAAACGGGGCGUAUAUAUAAAAUAACGGAACCCCUAAAUAUCCUGAAUCUCCUAUAGAUUAGGAUAAGGAUUGGAAUAUUUAUUAACAUAUAAUAAAUAUCUAUUAUAAGAUAUGUUUCUUAACUGAUAAGAAACAUAUAAUUCAUACUUAUCAUAAACUUGUUAGGAUGAAUCAUGAUCCAUAACUUAUGUGGAUCGGGUCAAAUCAUAACCCGCCAAUGUGGACACACCAUAUGGCAACAAUCUCCCACUUGGCCACAUUGGCCAACUCUCUCUCACUCAUUCGUCUCUUCAUACGGGUAAUAGAGCGUGCGACCUGACGAAAAGAACCACAUGCAGGAGUGCUAAAUUAAGUCACCACCCAACUAAUAUAGCACAUCACUGACUUAAUUCGUCUAUGCCCUAGACGUUUCAACACACACCGGAUCAAGCAUCACAAAGUCCCUCUCCUGUAAUGACAGGGCUCGACCCCACCGUUAUUUCUCGUACUCAUGAUUAUCUCAAGUAACAUAACUGAGAUAACCGCCCGGGCAAUGAGUCACAAGACUUACGUGGUGUGUUAUCGAAACAUCUUCCUCAGCCCCUCACGUUAAUCCAUAUUGGUCCAAGCACUUUACUAGACGUGCUCCGCGAGAUCGUAUUUUCUCAUGACCCUGAGAUACACGCUAAGUUAGUUACUUUUGACCUCCACUUCAUAACGUAGUUCUAAGUCGAGGGCACAAAAGGGUUAGUGCUCACACAGUGACAUGGAGGGAAGAGCUUAUGUCACUCUACUAACUGGUCGACAAGCACAUACAGUAUGAUAUGUAUGCUAUGGCGGAGCUCCCACUCAAUGGGACAUGUCACGCUCUGAAAGAACGCCAUACGAACCUUGGUCUAGGUACCACUAAGGUAUCUAACCACCACAACUCAAGUCAUCUCUCUAACCUGAGCACUUAGGUUCGGCUACUAUACAGGCUCGAUAUGAAAUUUCACCAAAAAUUCAUAUCUGACUCUUGAGAGUCUCAUCUUAAACUAAUUAAGGCGACUUUUAAAUUACGUUAACACUUUAUUCAUAACGUAUAUGAACAAAGCAAUCAUAUUACAACUACUCAAGUUCAAUAUGAUUAUUUAGUCUCAUCCUGCUCACCACCUAGGUGCCAGGGCGAUCACCCGUGUGAGUGGGCUGAUCUGAGCCCGGUGACUUAACGAAUAUGUGCCUACUAGUAUCAAUUACGCAAUCACAUUAAAAGAAAAAACACAUUUUCAUUAAUAAAGCGUAAAAUACAAAAUAAUGUCCAUAAAUCAAAACCUACGAAGACCCAAACUCCCAACGUGGGUCUGGAACACAUCCCUAGCUAUCGGCUUGGUCAACGGAUCAGCCACCAUCCUAGUGGUGGAAAUAUGUUUAAGAACGACCUCGCCUAGCUUAAUCAUAUCUCGAAUGUAGUGAAAUCGGAUAUCAAUAUGCUUGGUCCUGCCAUGAUACUUGGGAUCCUUCACAUACGCCAGGGCAGCCAUGCUGUCAGAGAACAUCUCAACAGGUUCAUUUGCUCGAGUCACGAUGUCGAGGUGUUGGAGAAAUCUCCUCAGCCAAACUGCCUCCUGUACGGCCGCUGAACAAGCAACGUAUUCCGCUUCCAUGGUUGACAAGGCAAUGCAGCUCUGCUUCUUACUGCACCAGGAAAUUGCCCCACCUCCAAGCAUAAACACAUAGCCUGAGGUGGACCUGCGCUCAUCUCUAUCACCGCCCCAAUCAGCAUCACUAUAUCCUUUCAAUCUCAAGUCCCCUCCUUGAAAACAGAGAACGAGAUCACUGGUUCCUUUUAAAUAUCGAAGGAUUCUCUUGACCGCUUGCCAAUGAAUAGGUCCUGGGUUGCUCUGGUAACGACUUACCAAGCUAACAGCGAAGCAAAUGUCAGGCCGAGUACACAUCAUAGCAUACAUCAAACUGCCAAUUGCACUCGCAUAAGGAACCCUACUCAUUUGCUCCUUCUCUUUAUCCGUUUUAGGGCACUGAUCAAGACUCAGAGUUUGAUUCUUCUCCACUGGAGUAUCAACGGGUUUACAAUGAUGCAUCCUAAAACGCUCUAGAACCUUUUUAAUAUAAGAUUCUUGAGACAAACCAAGAAGUCUUCUAGAGCGAUCACGGAUGACCUUUACUCCGAGCACAUAGCUCGCCUCACCCAUGUCUUUCAUUUCAAAGUUGAGAGACAACCACUCCUUAGUGGUAUUGAUUAACUCCAUGUCAUUUCCAGCCAAUAAUAUGUCGUCGACGUAUAGAGAGAGAAACAAAAUCCCAUUCUCUGUUUUCUUGAUAUACACACAGUGGUCCUCCUCUAUCAUGGACAUACCGAUAGAGGUGAUGGCUUCAUGAAACCUGAAAUACCACUGUCUCGACGACUGCUUGAGACCAUAAAUGGAUCUUUUAAGACGACAAACUUUGUCUUCUUGACCUUUGAGUACAAAACCCUCAGGUUGAUCCAUAUAGAUCUCCUCUGCUAAUUCUCCGUUGAGAAAAGCUGUUUUGACAUCCAUUUGGAACAAUUCCAAAUCUAGGUGUGCCACUAAGGCUAGAAUCAAACGAAUUGAGGCAAAUCUCACAACGGGAGCAAACGUCUCGUUGUAAUCUACCCCUUGCCUCUGAGUGUAGCCCUUAGCCACGAGCCGAGCCUUGUAUUUAUCGAUUGAUCCAUCCGCCUUGCGCUUAAUUUUUAAAACCCAUUUAUUUCCAAUAGACUUGCGCCCAGGCGGAAGGUCAACCAAUUCCCAUACUUGGUUCUUGCUCAUGGAGUCCAUCUCAUCUUUCAUAGCAGCCAUCCACUCACUGCAAGCUGACGUCUGCAGAGCUUCUUUAUAAGAAGAAGGUUCAUCGUCAUCGAGCGGAGUACACAUGAAAAUAUCCCCUUCGAUCUCAAAAUGUCGACGGGGAAUAUGUCCACGUUCACUUCUACGCAAUGGAGGGUCCGAAUUGCCGACUUCCAAGGGUAUGCUCUCAUUCAACGAAGCACUCCCACUAGCCGGAGGAUCGCUACCACUUCCUUCAGCGACUUCGGGAAGUGAUCGAUCACCCUCAACCGCAGAUGGGGUAGCGUCGUCCUGUAACUCAUACAAUCCGACGUCUCUUCGCAUUUCACCAAUGCUUGGAAAAUCCCUUUCUAGGAAUUCCACAUCACGAGACUCAAUCUCGGUCAUACCACCAUCUGGGUGUUCACCAUACAUCACAUAACCCUUCGAAUUUUCAGGGUAUCUGAUGAACACAUGCUUGCUCGCUUUGGGGCCGAGUUUUCCGAAUUUAUGUGAGGGGCUGUGAACAUAUCCAGCUGAACCCCAAGGGCGUAAGUAGUGUAAACUUGGCUUUCUACCGCUCCAUAACUCAUAUGGGGUAGUAGGCACUGAUUUGCUAGGGACUCGAUUAAGGAUGUAGGCUGCAGUCAAAAGCGCAUCUCCCCAAAAAUUUAUAGGAAGUUGCGCUUGCGCCAUCAUCGACCUAACCAUGUCUAAUAGAGUACGGUUCCUUCGCUCUGCAACACCAUUUUGUUGCGGAGUACCAGGAAUAGUGAGCUGUCUACUAAUGCCCUUUUCCUCACAAUAAGUCUUGAACUGAUCAGACAAGUACUCACGACCUCGGUCAGUGCGAAGCGCCUUUACACUUCUUUCUAUUUGAUUCUCAGCCUCCGCAACGAAGCGUUUGAAGCAAUCUAAAGCUUCAGAUCGGCGAGAAAGCAAAUAGACAUAUCCAUAACGGGAAUAAUCAUCAAUGAAUGUGAGAAAAUAGCACGCACCAUGCCGGGCCCUCACAUUCAUUGGCCCACAAAUGUCAGAGUGGAUUAGCUCUAAAGGAUGAGAGGCACGAGUAGCCUUACCAAAAGGCUUUCUACAUGCCUUUCCAGCCAGACAAGGCUCACACACAGAUAGGUCAACUUUGGCGAGAGACCCCAAAAGGCCUUCUCGAGCCAGUCUAUUCAUUCUGUCUUGACCUAUAUGGCCUAAUCUGGCAUGCCAUUUAACGGAUUCAUCACAGAGAUUAGAAGAAGAAGAAGUAGAAGUAGUAAAUGCAAACGAAUCAUCCUCCAAAUCUAAUUUAAAGAAACCAUCAACUAAUGUACCAUAACCAAAUAAAGUACCAUGAAAGGAAAUGUCAAGGCGGUUUCUGUCAAAAUGAAAUGAAUAUCCUAGGUGCAACAAAGCUAAAACUGAACAUAGAUUACAUCGAAUUCCGGGUGCAUAUAGCACGUCCUGAAGAAGUAAAGUGCGGCCACCACGCAACUUGAGUUGGUACGAACCGACUCCAAGGACUUCUUCCUUCGUGCCAUUCCCAAGGGUGACGAAUUGUGUGCCAGACGGUACUCGAUGGUAAUCUACGAACCCCACUCGGUCACGAACUACGUGUUUGUUUGCUCCUGUAUCCACAAUCCAAUCGGGAAGAGAAUGAGCUACUAAAGCAUGAGAGCAAACAAAACAGUGUGAGUUGAGUGGUCGGGUUACCUUUUUCGGCUCAGGACAAUCCCGAACGAAAUGACCCUUCUUCUUGCAAUUGUAACAUUUUAGCUUUGUAGCAUCCUUAUUGCCAGCGCGUUUGCCUCUGUGGCGCUUUCCAACUCCACCCUGAGGAGCUUGAUUCCAUUUCUUCUGCGCUCCAUUGUUGUGACGCUUUUUGCGCUUGGGUACAAUCCCACUGCGCUUCUCGGAGCGUGCAACAAGAGCGACAGAACGGUUCACUUCCAAGCGCUCUGCCUCGAGCUCAAGAUGGCGCGAGAUGUCAUUAAACGUUUUAAUGUUCUCGCUGUGCGUCAUCAGGAGCUUCAUCUGGGACCAUUCAGGAUCAGGCAGUGAACGAAUCACCGCUAGAACUUGUUGCUCAUCAGUGAGCUCGUUUCCAGCAGUCUUAAGGUCCCGAAUCAUGGCGCUCAUCACACGAAGGUGCUCAGCCAUUGAAUGCUUCGGGUCUUUAAUGUACUGUAGAAACUUAAGAUUUAGGGCACGUAGCCUUGUAGAUGAAGUUUGACCAAAUGUAAUCUUCAAAUUGUCCCACAUAUCCUUGGCAGUUUCAAAGAUCUCAAACUGUCCAAUGAGGUCGUCUUGCAUGGCACUCAACAUAGUGUACCGAGCAGUUCGAUCCUCCUUGAUCCAUUUGUUAUAGAUCUCCUUUUCAUGCUCAGAAGCUGUGCCUUCGGCAGGCAAGACUCUUUUGACAGAUAGAGUUUCAAGAACCCCUUGUUCAUUAAGCAGGUAUUGCAUUUUCCUGUGCCAAAUAUCAUAAUUCUUUCCAUCUAGCUUAUCACCCCUGGUGAGAUCAGCUAUGAUGUUCUUGGAAGUCAUUUCACUACAUUCAAAAUUAGGUUUGGACAUUAGGCACAUAUUCCCAAAAAAAUUAACAAGAUUGAAACUUUAUCCUCGACACAACGGGAUCGAAAACUUCGCUAUGCUCGUAAUCAUCACCCAGUAUCGAUUCAAAAUAUUACAAUCUUAUUAAUUUUUUCUACUAAUUUUGAAACUUAUUCAAAAUUGAAACUGAUCCAUUUUGAAAGAACACAUCCUUAAAAAAUUUUAUACAUGAAGAACAAAUCACAUGAUGUCAUCACACAGAUAAAAAAAAUAAGUACUUAUGCCAAAAUUUAAUUUGAAAAACGUCGACGCUGCGCAAAACACAUUCCUUUACAUGGCCUUAAUUAUUACAUCACCUUUUUCAUAAUUAAAACCUACUACAUCACUACAAGAUGUACAUCAGAAAAUAAAUAUUCUACAGGAAUGCUGCACACGUCGAACCCGUCUUUCCAAAAUUAAAUUUUGUUAAAAAAUCACCGAAUAACAUAAGUACUUAUAUGCCAAUAAAAUAUCAUGCUACAUAAGCAAAAAAACACCCACAUAGGAUAAACAACACAUGCAUAUUCUAAAAAAAAGGCAUAAUAAGUAUCCAAAAAUAUUACGCAGGAAAUAUAUUUAUCAAAUAUCAUGCAGGAAAUAAAAAUAUCCACACAGGAUUUUUAUUAUUAUUAUUUUUUUUUUUGAACUGCGUGCAGCGAGCUAGGCCGGCUACAGAGCCUGCUCGGGCUCACGCAGGCCCGCCGCACAGGGCCGAGCCCAGCACAGGACUCGUGUGCCCACAGCGGCCGGGCUCGCACGGUUACCGCGGGGCGGCCCUGUGCCCGCAAUAGGCGAGGCCCUGCGCGGUGCGCUGGUGCAGCCCGUGCCCGCAGCGGGCCGGGCCUGCGCGGAGCGCAUGCGUGCAGAGCCCCGCACCCACAGCGGGCCAGGCCCGGCGGUGCGGGCGGUUGCGCUACGCUCCCGCAGCGGGCCGGCCCGCAGGGCGUGUGCGGGUGCGCUCCGCACGGCAGCAGCGGGCCGAGCCGCGCCGUGCGCGCGGUUGCGCCCGCGCCGCCGCAGCGCGGGCCCGCUCGGAGCAGCGGGUAAGCCCGCUCCGCAGCGGGGCGGGGCCCGGGCGGAAGCGGCGGGUGGGCUUCGGUACCUGCAGCAUGCAGAGCCCUGCGCUGGUCGUAGGCCUGCGUCCGUGCCUGCAGCAGGCGGGCCCGCGCAGGUGAGUACCGACGCCGCCCACAGCAGGCCGCUUCAUGCCGCUCCCAGUAAAAAAAAUUGCACGAAAAAACAACAUAUGUUAAAAAAAGUUCACAUGUUCCUAUGAUGAUCAGAAAAAGUAAAACUAAUUUAAUUUUUUUCGAUUUCACAAAGAAACAAAAAAUGCAGAACGGAUCUACAUCAAGAAUUGAUCAAGGAAAAACAUGCGAUCUAAAAUAUAGCAUCACAAGAUAUCAUAUAAGCGAAAACAAGCAUGCUGGCUCUGAUACUAAUUUGGUGGAAAUAAUAGGCAGCGGAAACUUACAAACCGGAUAGCCAACGUAUCCGGGAACCGGAAUCGGAUCGGGUUGCUUGUUUUACAAGCCUUCUUGGAUCGUCCUUGUCUCGAUGCUUCUGGAUCUCCCACAUUUUUCGUCUUCUUCCACGCGUACGCCUUACGUCACGGAACGGAUCGCCUUACGUCACGGAUGCCAAUCGGAGAGGGCUACCAGAGUCCUCUCCUAUGUCCACACCCUAAAACCCCGGGAACGUAGGUGGAAAUCCCAGAGAGGAAGAUGAGAGAGAAGAAGGAAGAUUUUGUGGAUUCUCGAAUUAGAUCGUAUUCAAUCAUCUCUCCUGCGGGAGAAAACGGGGCGUAUAUAUAAAAUAACGGAACCCCUAAAUAUCCUGAAUCUCCUAUAGAUUAGGAUAAGGAUUGGAAUAUUUAUUAACAUAUAAUAAAUAUCUAUUAUAAGAUAUGUUUCUUAACUGAUAAGAAACAUAUAAUUCAUACUUAUCCUAAACUUGUUAGGAUGAAUCAUGAUCCAUAACUUAUGUGGAUCGGGUCAAAUCAUAACCCGCCAAUGUGGACACACCAUAUGGCA
rnacentral:lncRNA from 1 species